rnacentral:rRNA from 1 species
UACGUAGGCAGCAAGCGUUGUUCGGAGUUACUGGGCGUAAAGAGUGCGUAGGCGGUGCCCCAAGUCUGUUGUGAAAUCUCCCGGCUUAACUGGGAGGGUGCGGUGGAAACUGGGGUGCUUGAGUAUGGGAGAGGUAAGCGGAAUUCCUGGUGUAGCGGUGAAAUGCGUAGAUAUCAGGAGGAACACCGGUGGUGUAGACGGCUUACUGGACUAUGACUGACGCUGAGGCACGAAAGCGUGGGUAGCAAACAGGAUUAGAACCG